rnacentral:rRNA from 1 species
UGCCAGCCGCCGCGGUAAUACGGGGGGUGCAAACGUUGCUCGGAAUUAUUGGGCGUAAAGCGCACGUAGGCGGUCCGUUAAGUCGGAUGUGAAAGCCCUCGGCUCAACCGAGGAAGUGCAUUCGAAACUGUCGGACUUGAGUAUGGGAGAGGGUCGCGGAAUUCCCGGUGUAGAGGUGAAAUUCGUAGAUAUUCGGAGGAACACCAGUGGCGAAGGCGGCUUUCUGGACCGAUACUGACGCUGAGACGCGAAAGCGUGGGGAGCAAACAGGAUUAGAUA